GACGAACCACACGAACGUUAUUCGGAAUUACUGGGCUUAAAGGGUGCGUAGGCGGCGUGGUAAGUUGGGUGUGAAAUCCCUCGGCUCAACCGAGGAACUGCGCCCAAAACUACCAUGCUUGAGGAAGAUAGAGGUAAGCGGAACUUACGGUGGAGCGGUGAAAUGCGUUGAUAUCGUAAGGAACACCUGUGGCGAAAGCGGCUUACUGGGUCUUUUCUGACGCUGAUGCACGAAAGCCAGGGGAGCAAACGGG
rnacentral:rRNA from 1 species